rnacentral:rRNA from 1 species
AGAAUCAACGCUGGCGGCGUGCCUAACACAUGCAAGUCGUACGCGAAAGGGGAGCAAUCCCUGAGUAGAGUGGUAAACGGGUGAGUAACACGUGGGUGACCUGCCUCAGAGUGGGGGAUAACGUCCCGAAAGGGACGCUAAUACCGCAUAACAUCCUGCCCUUGGAAGGGUGGAGAUCAAAGCCGGGGAUCGUAAGACCUGGCGCUUGGAGAGGGGCCCGCGUCUGAUUAGCUAGUUGGUAGGGUAAUGGCCUACCAAGGCGACGAUCAGUA